rnacentral:rRNA from 1 species
AGUGAACGCUGGCGGUAGGCCUAACACAUGCAAGUCGAACGGCAGCACAGUAAGAGCUUGCUCUUACGGGUGGCGAGUGGCGGACGGGUGAGGAAUACAUCGGAAUCUACUUUUUCGUGGGGGAUAACGUAGGGAAACUUACGCUAAUACCGCAUACGACCUACGGGUGGAAGCAGGGGAUCUUCGGACCUUGCGCGAUUGAAUGAGCCGAUGUCGGAUUAGCUAGUUGGCGGGGUAAAGGCCCACCAAGGCGACGAUCCGUAGCUGGUCUGAGAGGAUGAUCAGCCACACUGGAACUGAGACACGGUCCAGACUCCUACGGGAGGCAGCAGUGGGGAAUAUUGGACAAUGGGCGCAAGCCUGAUCCAGCCAUACCGCGUGGGUGAAGAAGGCCUUCGGGUUGUAAAGCCCUUUUGUUGGGAAAGAAAAGCAGCAGGUUAAUACCCCGCUGUUCUGACGGUACCCAAAGAUUAAGCACCGGCUAACUUCGUG